AGGGUUUGAAGGAGAAGCAAGUGGCACACACUGCUCUUCUCAAAGAGGUUAUCCAGCAUCUUGAUGCAUUUGAGCGCAUGUUUGAUGAGAGAAGACUGCAGGAUGAGUCAAGCCAUGUGCAUAAAAAAGCUAAAAGGAUGCAUACCGUGGGGAUUGUGGAAGCUGUAAGGAGCCUCCAUAAUUCAGAAAACAACUCACAUAAAUACGAUCCACACACUGGAAUAAGUUUACUUCAUGAUCAGGCAGUGAUGAUAUAUCUGCUGGAGGUAUUAAAGAUGACUUUUGCAGACCCUGAGUGUAUAAAGGAGGAAAUACUUUUUGUCUGGCCAGAAAAGUCUCCGCUAAAAGACUCAGUUGAGACAGGGGCUAAAAACCGACAAAGAUAAGUACUGUAAGUUUACAAAUUCAUUUAUGUAUUUAGUUUGGUACAUCUCGAGUGUUUUUAGGGGUUAACGUGUUUUGCAGUUGCUGGAGUCCAGGUGUACGGUUGUUUAAACAGAUGCAGAGAAAGAACUGUGGCAGACUGCAAUACUGGAACUGAUGUCCGAUGAGGAGGAUGCCAUUACGUGCCAUGCCAUCAGCGUGUAAUAUCUAAAGGGACCAAGCUAGAAAGACAUUUAUUUUGGACAUCUAACAAGCACUAGUGCAUGUUUGUUUUAGUAUUGCUUUUAAUUUAAUUGUACCUUUAUAAAUGCACAUUUGUUCAUUUUUUUCAUAUUUUAUGUUUUUACCUUAUUCUUACUUUGCUUUGUAUAUUUAUUAGUGUUUGGUUAGAUUUUAAUAAAAAAUUCUG